GAUGAACGCUGGCGGCGUGCCUAAUACAUGCAAGUCGAGCGAACAGACGAGGAGCUUGCUCCUCUGACGUUAGCGGCGGACGGGUGAGUAACACGUGGAUAACCUACCUAUAAGACUGGGAUAACUUCGGGAAACCGGAGCUAAUACCGGAUAACAUGUUGAACCGCAUGGUUCAACAGUGAAAGACGGUCUUGCUGUCACUUAUAGAUGGAUCCGCGCCGCAUUAGCUAGUUGGUAAGGUAACGGCUUACCAAGGCAACGAUGCGUAGCCGACCUGAGAGGGUGAUCGGCCACACUGGAACUGAGACACGGUCCAGACUCCUAUGGGAGGCAGCAGUAGGGAAUCUUCCGCAAUGGGCGAAAGCCUGACGGAGCAACGCCGCGUGAGUGAAGAAGGUCUUCGGAUCGUAAAACUCUGUUAUUAGGGAAGAACAAAUGUGUAAGUAACUAUGCACGUCUUGACGGUACCUAAUCAGAAAGCCACGGCUAACUACGUG
rnacentral:rRNA from 1 species